GACGAACGCUGGCGGCGUGCUUAACACAUGCAAGUCGAACGGAAAGGCCCUGCUUGCAGGGUACUCGAGUGGCGAACGGGUGAGUAACACGUGGGUGAUCUGCCCUGCACUUCGGGAUAAGCCUGGGAAACUGGGUCUAAUACCGGAUAGGAGCCAUUUUUAGUGUGAUGGUUGGAAAGUUUUUUCGGUGUAGGAUGAGCUCGCGGCCUAUCAGCUUGUUGGUGGGGUAAUGGCCUACCAAGGCGGCGACGGGUAGCCGGCCUGAGAGGGUGGACGGCCACAUUGGGACUGAGGUACGGCCCAGACUCCUACGGGAGGCAGCAGGGGGGAAUAUUUCACAAAGGGCGCAAGGCUGAUGCAGCGAAGCCGCCGGGGGGAUGACCGCCUUCCGGUUGUAAACCCCUUUCGCUAAGGACGAAACUUUUUGGGACGGUAACUAAAAAAGAAGCACCGGCUAACUACGUG
rnacentral:rRNA from 1 species